AGUGAACGCUGGCGGUAGGCCUAACACAUGCAAGUCGAACGGCAGCACAGGAGAGCUUGCUCUCUGGGUGGCGAGUGGCGGACGGGUGAGGAAUACAUCGGAAUCUACUUUUUCGUGGGGGAUAACGUAGGGAAACUUACGCUAAUACCGCAUACGACCUACGGGUGAAAGCAGGGGAUCUUCGGACCUUGCGCGAUUGAAUGAGCCGAGGUCGGAUUAGCUAGUUGGCGGGGUAAAGGCCCACCAAGGCGACGAUCCGUAGCUGGUCUGAGAGGAUGAUCAGCCACACUGGAACUGAGACACGGUCCAGACUCCUACGGGAGGCAGCAGUGGGGAAUAUUGGACAAUGGGCGCAAGCCUGAUCCAGCCAUACCGCGUGGGUGAAGAAGGCCUUCGGGUUGUAAAGCCCUUUUGUUGGGAAAGAAAUCCAGCUGGUUAAUACCCGGUUGGAUGACGGUACCCAAAGAAUAAGCACCGGCUAACUUCGUGCCAGCAGCCGCGGUAA
rnacentral:rRNA from 1 species